GAUGAACGCUAGCGGCAGGCUUAAUACAUGCAAGUCGAGGGACAGCACAGGUAGCAAUACUGGGUGGUAACCGGCAAACGGGUGCGGAACACGUACACAACCUUCCUUUAAGUGGGGGAUAGCCCAGAGAAAUUUGGAUUAAUACCCCGUAAUAUAGUUGAAUGGCAUCAUUUGAUUAUUAUAGCUACGGCGCUUAAUGAUGGGUGUGCGGCUGAUUAGAUAGUUGGCGGGGUAACGGCCCACCAAGUCUACGAUCAGUAGCUGAUGUGAGAGCAUGAUCAGCCACACGUGCACUGGGACACGGGCCCGACUCCUACGGGAGGCAGCAGUAAGGAAUAUUGGUCAAUGGACGCAAGUCUGAACCAGCCAUGCCGCGUGAAGGAUUAAGGUCCUCUGGAUUGUAAACUUCUUUUAUUUGGGACGAAAAAGGGCCUUUCUAGGUCAACUGACGGUACCAGAUGAAUAAGCACCGGCUAACUACGUGCCAGCAGCCGCCGUAA
rnacentral:rRNA from 1 species